CUUUGCAAUCGCGGGAGCUCGGAGCACCGGGCUGAGAGGGCGCUGAUUGUGUCGGCCCGGGGAUGGCCCCGGGCCCCAUGCUGCGCCGACCGCUGAACCUGUUACCGGGUAAUGCCGGCGUAGGGAGUGGGUCUCAAUGACUC
rnacentral:ncRNA from 1 species